GACGAACGCUGGCGGCGUGCUUAAUACAUGCAAGUCGAACGGAAAGGCCCUGCUUUUGUGGGGUGCUCGAGUGGCGAACGGGUGAGUAACACGUGAGUAACCUGCCCUUGACUUUGGGAUAACUUCAGGAAACUGGGGCUAAUACUGGAUAGGAGCUCCUGCUGCAUGGUGGGGGUUGGAAAGUUUCGGCGGUUGGGGAUGGACUCGCGGCUUAUCAGCUUGUUGGUGGGGUAGUGGCUUACCAAGGCUUUGACGGGUAGCCGGCCUGAGAGGGUGACCGGCCACAUUGGGACUGAGAUACGGCCCAGACUCCUACGGGAGGCAGCAGUGGGGAAUAUUGCACAAUGGGCGGAAGCCUGAUGCAGCAACGCCGCGUGCGGGAUGACGGCCUUCGGGUUGUAAACCGCUUUCGCCUGUGACGAAGCGUGAGUGACGGUAAUGGGUAAAGAAGCACCGGCUAACUACGUG
rnacentral:rRNA from 1 species